GUGGGGAAUUUUGCGCAAUGGGGGAAACCCUGACGCAGCGACGCCGCGUGGAGGACGAAGGCCUUCGGGUUGUAAACUCCUUUUGUCGGGGAAGAUAGUGACGGUACCCGAUGAAUAAGCCACGGCUAACUCUGUGCCAGCAGCCGCGGUAAGACAGAGGUGGCAAGCGUUGUUCGGAAUUACUGGGCUUAAAGGGCGCGUAGGCGGCAUGGCAAGUCGGUGGUGGAAUGCCGGGGCUUAACCUCGGAAUUGCCAUCGAAACUGCCUUGCUUGAGUCAGUGAGGGGAGGGCGGAAUUCCUGGUGUAGCAGUGAAAUGCGUAGAUAUCAGGAGGAAGGCCGGUGGCGAAGGCGGCCCUCUGGCGCUUGACUGACGCUGAGGCGCGAAAGCGUGGGGAGCAAACAGGAUUAGAUACCCUUGUAGUCC
rnacentral:rRNA from 1 species